GGAAUCUUGGACAAUGGGGGAAAGCCUGACGCAGCAACGCCGCGUGGGGGAUGAAGGCUCUUGGGUCGUAAACCCCUUUUGCCGGGGAAGAUAAUGACGGUACCCGGCGAAUAAGCCACGGCUAACUACGUGCCAGCAGCCGCGGUAAUACGUAGGUGGCAAGCGUUGUCCGGAUUUAUUGGGCGUAAAGGGCGCGCAGGCGGUUCGUUAAGUCCGAGGUGAAAUCUCCCGGCUCAACUGGGAGGGGUCUUCGGAUACUGGCGGACUCGAGGUGAGCAGAGGUGAGCGGAAUUCUGGGUGUAGUGGUGAAAUGCGUAGAUAUCCAGAGGAACACCAGUGGCGAAGGCGGCUCACUGGGCUCCACCUGACGCUGAGGCGCGAAAGCGUGGGGAGCGAAC
rnacentral:rRNA from 1 species